rnacentral:misc_RNA from 1 species
CCCUUAUCACAUUGAACUAAGUGCACAUCAAGGGCACUAUAUCUUUGCCUCAAAUAACCUCUCUAUUCUCCUAAUAUUCACAUGUCGCCAUGCAUUUCAAAAGAAACAAGUGACCACUGAGUGCAUAAAACAGACAUUUAAAUGUAAAUGCUGAAUCAUGAUCCUCUUAAUACUAACAUGCAUGUACCAGAACUAUGAGACACCACAAAUAGAAUCAUAGAAUACCAGUUUUCUUGUAUCCAUAUCCCUCUAGCCCAUUGAUUCUUCAUUAUAUUCCCAAGGCCUUCAGUUCAAGUCAGUCAUGUCACAGAAAAUCUAAUAAAGAAUUUAUGAGUAAGAUACAGGCAUGUGACGCAAGCAUAUAUGAAUGAACAGGAACUGUCUCAGAAACUGAAAGCAAAUAAACCAAAAGCAUGUUCAGAGACAUAAAACUGCUUGAGCCCUCCAGCUUACUGCUCCCACCAAAAUGGAUGUAAGUGAUGCUCUCCACUGGAUUAUCAUUAGGUGCAAAAUUUUAAUCACAAGACUUCUGCUAAUAAGAGAGUGCAAAAUAUUUUCGGAGCUUUAUGCCAAGACAGCCAUGGAAUAUAGAAGAUUGCCAAAUAUCAAAAAGGUAAAAGGACAAUAAAAAGGCCAGACUUUAAAUAUCUCAGCAUUGCAGUUUACCUCCACCAAAAAUCAGACAUUAUCUAACAUUUUUACGAGGCUUCUUUGCAGAAUAUAAGAGGGAGCCUGGUGACUUGGGUGCUUCACGCCUAGAACCAUUUGUUGCCAAUCCACAUUCGGAUUCAUCAUCAUCACUAUCAAUGUUAUUUGGAGUAACCCUAUUCUGUUGUGCUCUGCGCUGCAAAAGAAAUACAUUGAAGUAGUAGCCCACCAGAUCUUCCCUUCCCUUGGUAGGAAAGCAUUUGAAUAUCUCAUCCCAGAAACACUUAUCAAGAGAUGGGGGAUUUAACCGCACUAUAGCCUUAAACUUUCUCUCUUCUUCUUCUGUCCAGGAAAGUUUAACAUCUUCACCCAUCUUGUCAAACCUCCAAUGAUGGAAACCUGCCCCCAAUUCACGCUUCACCCUCAACCUUCUCUCAGCAUUAUGAAAUCUGACACAUUCUACAGAUUUUGGCACUUCACACCCACACGAAUCUUGCCUUCCCUUACCAAUAGGUUCUCGCUCAAUAACAAAUCGGUUGUCUACUUUUUCUGGUGGCCAAACUCGUGUCCCAGCCCACUUUGAGUCGCUUCCAGAAACAACACCAGUCCAUUCAGGUAUUUCAGCCUGAAAAUCAGGGCCUAAGGGAAUUGCCUUUUCAACAGGAAGGUAAACCACUGAAUAUUUAGUUGAAGAAGCACCAUCGCAAAUCCCUUUUGUGCAAGAGUCCAGGUCAGUUUCAGUGGUUGAGGAAGAUAAUUCUGAACAAGCCUGUGCCUGAAACACAGCUUUUCCGUGUAGCAGCUUCUCGCUACAUUUUAACCUCUGUCUGAAAUUGUAAGCGGAUCCAACUUGAUCAUCAUACAUGCAUGGGUGCAUCUUCCGAUUUUUCUGGCAAGUAGAUUUUUCAGCACUUGAAUCAACAUGUCUUUUUAGAAACAAUGCUUCACGAACCAACAAAACCUGCUUCCACAUUACCUCAUUCCCAUAAGACUCCCACUUCGACCUCUCUGGUAAUGAACCCACAACAGGUUCACAUGGAUUCUUUGCAAUCCCAGUAAUCCAGUUCACCACUCUACACAUGGAUUCCCUUUUCCUUUUACGACCCGAAAUAAAUCCCUCAACAGCAUCUGAAUCUAAUACGAUAACAUCAUUUUCAUCACCAUUGUCAUCUUUCUUGCUCCCAUCCAUUCCCACCACCACACUCUUGACCUCAUCCUCUUCCUCAUUACACACUUGCGCACUUGUUGAAUUGGAUUGCAGGUUUUCCUGAACAUCUUUACAUUUAUAGUUACCAACAGAAAAAGAAUCAAUGGCCAUGUUCUUUGCCAAAUUAUAGCCUAAUUUCCCAACUUCCACAAAAUCAACAACACUCUUUCCAGUUUCUAUGUGCUCAGAUUCUUCAUCAUCAACAAUACACUUCUCAUCCUCAUUUGAAUCCACCUCAGCACUCACAUUCAGUACAGAUUUCCAAUCGCUUAUAUUUGACAAUAACCCCUUAAACUCAGACUCUAAUUCCAUCGAAACCCCACCCACAUUUGGGUCACUAUCACUCUAUUGGUUUUUGAGUUGAUGAUAUCACUAGGUUUGGAUUUUGAAUUAUUUUCAUCAACAAGUCUCUCUAACCAUUUCUCUAAUGCAUUCAAAUGCUUGGAAUAAAUCAAUUUCAUAGAUGAUGCAAGGUUCAGUCCCGACCCAGACUCUUCAGCCACUACAUCCCACAAGCAAUUCUUAGAAAUACCAUCAUAUCUAACAUUUCAGCUUCUCAACCAAAAACAGUUUAAACAAAUCCACAAAUUGUCCAUCUCCAAGCAUAGGAGGGAAUGCACCAUCCAGGACACAUAUUUCUUUCCGGAAAAAUCUUAGAAAAUUAUCAAACUGGCAACGAAGCUUGGUUUUUAAUCCGGCCACUUGUGAAAACGAGUCAAGAGUGACCAGAAACCCUUUUGGACGGAGCUUCUUUAGUGGGAUUUUGGAGCAACCUAAGGCACACUUGUCAUCAGCAAUCAUCGACCACCCGAUUAAGCAUCUAGGUCAAGCGUAGAAGAUGGGAUUUUGGCGGGAAAAAAAGCUGAUCUAGGGUUUUGAACGCCGAAUAAAAUUUGUGGCAGCGCGCGCAAGCUCUGUGUUUAGUUGCAGAAUUAUAAAGAGGGGUACGUGCGAGAGACAGAAAAAAGAGUAAAGGGGCUAUAAUUCGAAUUUUCGAACAGAUGCAGACCCUCGCCUUUGGGUGGCUUGAGGCUCAGACUCACCACCCCCUUGCCCUUCUUUGGUAUUUUCUUUCUCUUCUUUGGCCUUGUGUUGUGCGCCUCAAAACCUCUUUGGUGCCUCAAAACCUUCUACAGUUUCUAUUGAAAAAAAAAA